rnacentral:rRNA from 1 species
AGCCUUCGCUAAAGGAUUGGCCUAUGUCCUAUCAGCUUGUUGGUGAGGUAAUGGCUCACCGAGGCUAUGACGGGUAUCCGGCCUGAGAGGGUGAUCGGACACACUGGAACUGAGACACGGUCCAGACUCCUACGGGAGGCAGCAGUAGGGAAUAUUGCUCAAUGGGGGAAACCCUGAAGCAGCAACGCCGCGUGGAGGAUGAAGGUUUUAGGAUUGUAAACUCCUUUUGUAAGAGAAGAUUAUGACGGUAUCUUACGAAUAAGCACCGGCUAACUCCGUGCCAGCAGCCGCGGUAAUACGGAGGGUGCAAGCGUUACUCGGAAUCACUGGGCGUAAAGAGCGCGUAGGCGGGUAGUCAAGUCAGAUGUGAAAUCCUAUAGCUUAACUACAGAACUGCAUUUGAAACUGACUAUCUAGAGUAUGGGAGAGGUAGGUGGAAUUCUUGGUGUAGGGGUAAAAUCCGUAGAGAUCAAGAGGAAUACUCAUUGCGAAGGCGACCUGCUGGAACAUUACUGACGCUGAUGCGCGAAAGCGUGGGGAGCAAACAGGAUUAGAUACCCUGGUAGUCCACGCCCUAAACGAUGAAUGCUAGUUGUUGUGAGGCUUGUCCUUGCAGUAAUGCAGCUAACGCAUUAAGCAUUCCGCCUGGGGAGUACGGUCGCAAGAUUAAAACUCAAAGGAAUAGACGGGGACCCGCACAAGCGGUGGAGCAUGUGGUUUAAUUCGAAGAUACGCGAAGAACCUUACCUAGGCUUGACAUUGAUAGAAUCUACUAGAGAUAGUGGAGUGCUGGCUUGCCAGAGCUUGAAAACAGGUGCUGCACGGCUGUCGUCAGCUCGUGUCGUGAGAUGUUGGGUUAAGUCCCGCAACGAGCGCAACCCUCGUCCUUAGUUGCUAGCAGUUCGGCUGAGCACUCUAAGGAGACUGCCUUCGUAAGGAGGAGGAAGGUGAGGACGACGUCAAGUCAUCAUGGCCCUUACGCCUAGGGCUACACACGUGCUACAAUGGGGUGCACAAAGAGAUGCAAUACUGUGAAGUGGAGCCAAUCUCAAAAACAUCUCUCAGUUCGGAUUGUAGUCUGCAACUCGACUACAUGAAGCUGGAAUCGCUAGUAAUCGUGAAUCAGCCAUGUCACGGUGAAUACGUUCCCGGGUCUUGUACUCACCGCCCGUCACACCAUGGGAGUUGUAUUCGCCUUAAGUCGGGAUACUAAAUUGGUUACCGCCCACGGCGGAUGCAGCGACUGGGGGAAGUCGUAACAAGGUAACCGUAGGGAACCUGCGGCUGGAUCACCUCCUU